GUGGGUAGUUUGACUGGGGCGGUCUCCUCCUAAAGAGUAACGGAGGAGCACGAAGGUUGGCUAAUCCUGGUCGGACAUCAGGAGGUUAGUGCAAUGGCAUAAGCCAGCUUGACUGCGAGCGUGACGGCGCGAGCAGGUGCGAAAGCAGGUCAUAGUGAUCCGGUGGUUCUGAAUGGAAGGGCCAUCGCUCAACGGAUAAAAGGUACUCCGGGGAUAACAGGCUGAUACCGCCCAAGAGUUCAUAUCGACGGCGGUGUUUGGCACCUCGAUGUCGGCUCAUCACAUCCUGGGGCUGAAGUAGGUCCCAAGGGUAUGGCUGUUCGCCAUUUAAAGUGGUACGCGAGCUGGGUUUAGAACGUCGUGAGACAGUUCGGUCCCUAUCUGCCGUGGGCGCUGGAGAACUGAGGGGGGCUGCUCCUAGUACGAGAGGACCGGAGUGGACGCAUCACUGGUGUUCGGGUUGUCAUGCCAAUGGCACUGCCCGGUAGCUAAAUGCGGAAGAGAUAAGUGCUGAAAGCAUCUAAGCACGAAACUUGCCCCGAGAUGAGUUCUCCCUGAGACUUUAGGUCUCCUGAAGGAACGUUGAAGACGACGACGUUGAUAGGCCGGGUGUGUAAGCGCAGCGAUGCGUUGAGCUAACCGGUACUAAUGAA
rnacentral:rRNA from 2 species